rfam:Triticum aestivum genome assembly, contig: Triticum_aestivum_CS42_TGACv1_scaffold_527173_6DL
CCGCUCGACGAUGAUGACAUGGUCUCCUACAUCCUCGCCGGACUCGACUUUGACUACAUCUCGUUCGUCUCGUCCAUCUGCGCUGCAAGAACCGAGC